rnacentral:rRNA from 1 species
GAUGAACGCUAGCGGGAGGCCUAACACAUGCAAGCUGAGCGGUAGAGAUCUUUCGGGAUCUUGAGAGCGGCGUACGGGUGCGGAACACGUGUGCAACCUGCCUUUAUCAGAGGGAUUGCCUUUCGAAAGGAAGAUUAAUACCUCAUAAUAUAAUGAAUGGCAUAAUUUAUUAUUGAAAACUCAGGUGGAUAGAGAUGGGCACGCGCAAGAUUAGAUAGUUGGUGAGGUAACGGCUCACCAAGUCGAUGAUCUUUAGGGGGCCUGAGAGGGUGAUCCCCCACACUGGUACUGAGACACGGACCAGACUCCUACGGGAGGCAGCAGUGAGGAAUAUUGGACAAUGGGUUAGCGCCUGAUCCAGCCAUCCCGCGUGAAGGACGACGGCCCUAUGGGUUGUAAACUUCUUUUGUACAGGGAUAAACCUACCCUCGUGAGGGUAGCUGAAGGUACUGUACGAAUAAGCACCGGCUAACUCCGUGCCAGCAGCCGCCGCGG